AGCUCCAAUAGCGUAUAUUAAAGUUGUUGCAGUUAAAAAGCUCGUAGUUGGAUUUGUGGUGUACUUCGGCGGCCCGUCACUAUGUGAUGGAGCUUGCUGAAGUCGCCAUCCUUGGGUGGAUCCUGUGUGGCAUUAAGUUGUCGUGCAGGGGAUGCCCAUCGUUUACUGUGAAAAAAUUAGAGUGUUCAAAGCAGGCUUAUGCCGUUGAAUAUAUUAGCAUGGAAUAAUAAGAUAGGACCUUGGUACUAUUUUGUUGGUUUGCGCACCAAGGUAAUGAUUAAUAGGGACAGUUGGGGGUAUUCGUAUUUCAUUGUCAGAGGUGAAAUUCUUGGAUUUUUGAAAGACGAACUACUGCGAAAGCAUUUACCAAGGAUGUUUUCAUUA
rnacentral:rRNA from 1 species